rnacentral:rRNA from 1 species
UACGAAGGGGGCUAGCGUUGUUCGGAAUUACUGGGCGUAAAGGGCGCGUAGGCGGUCCUGAUCGUCGGAUGUGAAAGGCCUGGGCUCAACCUGGGAACUGCAUCCGAUACGGCGGGACUGGAGUGUGGGAGAGGUUGGUGGAAUUCCCAGUGUAGAGGUGAAAUUCGUAGAUAUUGGGAAGAACACCGGUGGCGAAGGCGGCCAACUGGACCACAACUGACGCUGAGGCGCGAAAUCGUGGGGAGCAAACAGG